UACAUGGGGUGCAAACGUUGCCCGGAAUCAUUGGGCGUAAAGCGCGCGUAGGCGGUUGCUUAUGUCGGAUGUGAAAGCCCCCGGCUUAACUGAGGAAGUGCAUCCGAAACUGGGCAGCUAGAGUACGAAAGAGGGUCGCGGAAUUCCCGGUGUAGAGGUGAAAUUCGUAGAUAUCGGGAGGAACACCGGUGGCGAAGGCGGCGACCUGGGUCGAGACUGACGCUGAGGCGCGAAAGCGUGGGGAGCAAACAGG
rnacentral:rRNA from 1 species